rnacentral:misc_RNA from 1 species
GGCCUUCUCGAGUUCAUCUCUGGGCUUCUUCCUCUGAGCCAUAUCUGAGCUCAAAUCGGCGAGAGUCCGUUUCUCCUUCAAGAACCGGCUUAACAGGCUACAGGUCUGAGCAAAAUUCGAUUUCUCCAGCCGCUUCGCCAGCUGCUGUCGGUCGGAAAGUCUCCCAUCUCCGCCGGCGUCCGAUGGAUUCGACAUAACAAACAACAAAAACAACAAGGAAACAGA